CCCUUGAGCACAUCACCACCGCGCCGUCCUCUUCACCACGCCGUCCUCUCUACCACCGUCAUCUCCCCCACGCACAUCACCACGCUCUGUCUUUCAUCAUCUCCACGGUAGGCUUGAUAUAUCUUUGAUGGGGUCUUUGUUUCUCAUCUCUUCUAUGCAAUCUCUCACUGACUCUGUCAUCUCUGGUGAAAGAGUCUUGUUUUCUAUUCCUCUCUGAUGAACUUAGAAGGAUACCCCAUAUCUCUCAGCUUGAGCAACGCGAAAAGCUUUGGGUCCUUGGUAGCCCUCUGGGAGUAUCUUUUGGAGCAAUUGUGGGUUUUUGGCGUGAGGUUUGUUGUUAUCCAACUCAAUUGCAGGGCUAAUUCUUCUUUAGAGUGGUGUGUUUUUCCUUGACAAUGUUUUAUUUCUGGAUUUGAAGUUUUCUGGAACUUAUGCUUUUUAUUUCUUCUUGACUUCUUGUUCCUUCUCUCUGGUUAUUUCUUCUGAUUUCUACUUUAAGAUUCUUAUUUGAUUCUAAUUCUUUUGUCCUUUUCAAGUACUGUUGGUUCUCCUUGCUUGCACAUGGGCAGGGGUGGAGGCAGUGGGGUUACUCAUUGGUGCCACAGUCACCCUCAAGUUAUGAAUUUCUUCUAAUGAAUUCUGCUAUAUAUGCUUUCCCUCUUUCAAUUAUGUACUUCCCUCUUUUCAGUAUCACAGUAUGUACUCAGUUAAUUUCUUUUCUUUUGGUUUCUAUGAGGAACCCACAGUUAACCCCCUUAUCUCCCUUAGCUAACAUUCAGUCUUGAUUUAUUGAACAUGAAGUUUGAAUGGUAGCUUGCAUUUUACUAAAACUAAUUUCUAGCUCUGUUCAUUUUCUAUCCCUAAUUCAUAUUUAUUCCAAGUAUUUUUCUUUUCAGAAAUUGGAACAGAUCAAUUAGUGGGAAUUCAUAUAAUGAUGAUGUCCACUUUGGCUCCAAAGUUUCAAAAGUUUGUAACCACUCAUAUAUUAUGGUGGAGAGGUCUUGCACAGUUUUUGGAAGUUAAAGGAUACAUCAUGGAAGGAGAUGACAAGCCUUCCUGGAUAUACCGUUCCGCCGUUGCCGAGUGUAUCCUUUAAGAGGUAGUGUCUCUUCUUUUGCAGAAUUAGGUUACUCUCUCUAUUCUUCUUAAAAGAAAUGAUUUGUCUCUUAAUAUGAAUGUUGUUCUAUAUGAGAGAACUUAGUGUUAUUCUAUUUGUUGAUGCAACUUAAUGUGAUGCAAUUUGUAGAAAGAUGUGUGGUUCAACAACUGUUUUUAUGUGUUUUACUUUUGUCUUA